AACGCAUAUUGCGCCCUUUGGUAUUCCGAAGGGCAUGCCUGUUCGAGCGUCAUUAACGACCGUCAAGCCUGGCUUGGUGUUUGGACGUCGGUCGUUGAGACCGCGUCCCAAAGACAAUGGCGGUGUCGAUUCAGUCCUCGGUGCAACGAGCUCCACGAGCACGCACCGCACGGGCUUAUCGGCGCCCGCCUAGACCCCUAAUUUUCUCAGGUUGACCUCGGAUCAGGUAGGUAUACCCGCUGAACUUAA
rnacentral:misc_RNA from 1 species